rnacentral:rRNA from 2 species
AGCUUACCGGAAGGUGUGCUUGGAAA